rnacentral:misc_RNA from 1 species
CGAAACAGUCAGCUGAUUCAAGCACAAGCGCAGGCCGGCUCCAAUUCGACAACAUCGUCCUCAACCCCGCUGCGGAAGAAGAGGAAUCCAACGGUCAGCCCGAGAACGAUCGCAAUGAAAACCCCUCCGUUGAAGGACAUGACGGCGAGCAUGAGGAGGUAGCCGAUCGCGGAGUUGACUCCGAAGAGGAUGGCGACCGCGAAUCUCGCCGCAGACCAACCACGGGGCGCGGCAGAUCUGGGGAGGAAAGGGACCUGAAUCGGGGCGGUGGGCUUGGAAUUGGCGACGAUCUUGAAGCGGAUCCGACGGUCCUCCAUGUACUGGUAGAAGGCGCCGACGAGGAAUAGGGCGACAAGGGUGAGGGCGUAGCUGAUCCAGGAAUCGGUCUUCCAUGAAUCGAAGAGGAUGACCGCUUGCCGGCCCCAGUAGAAGGUCAUGUGCAUCAUCUUGGCGAGGAUUGG